rnacentral:rRNA from 1 species
AGAACGAACGCUGGCGGCGUGGAUAAGACAUGCAAGUCGAACGCGAUUUAUCAGGUUAGCAAUAACUUGGUAGAUUGAGUGGCGAAAGGGUGCGUAACACGUGGGAAUUUACCAAGAAGUGGGGAAUAGCUCGACGAAAGUCGAAUUAAUACCGCAUGUGAUCGAAAGAUCAAAGUCGGGGACCGUAAGGCCUGACGCUUUUUGAGAAGCCCGCGGCCCAUCAGCUAGUUGGUGAGGUAAUGGCUCACCAAGGCUAUGACGGGUAGCUGGUCUGAGAGGACGACCAGCCACACUGGAACUGAGACACGGUCCAGACACCUACGGGUGGCAGCAGUCGAGAAUUUUUCACAAUGGACGAAAGU